ACACGACUACAUUAGAUACCCCUGUAGUCCUAGCCGUAAACGAUACUCGCUAGGUGUCGGCCACGGUGCGACCGUUGUCGGUGCCGUAGGGAAGCCGUGAAGCGAGCCACCUGGGAAGUACGGCCGCAAGGCUGAAAACUUAAAAGGAAUUGGCGGGGGAGCACCACAACGGGUGGAGCUUGCGGUUUAAUUGGAUUCAACGCCGGAAAUCUUACCGGGACCGACAGCAACAUGAAGGCCAGGCUGAAGACUUUGCCGGAUUAGCCG
rnacentral:rRNA from 1 species